CCCUAGUCUCAGUUCGGAUUGGAGUCUGCAACCCGACUCCAUGAAGCUGGAUUCGCUAGUAAUCGCGCAUCAGCCACGGCGCGGUGAAUACGUUCCCGGGCCCUGUACACACCGCCCGUCAAGCCAUGGAAGCCGGGAGUGCCUGAAGUGCGUGAGCGCAAGCAGCGCCCUAAGGUAAAACCGGUGACUGGGGCUAAGUCGUAACAAGGUAAC
rnacentral:rRNA from 1 species